UACGAAGGGGGCUAGCGUUGUUCGGAAUUACUGGGCGUAAAGGGCGUGUAGGCGGUUAAAUAAGUCAGAUGUGAAAGCCCCGGGCUUAACCUGGGAUGUGCAUAUGAUACUGUUUAGCUAGAGGACGAGAGAGGAUAGUGGAAUUGCGAGUGUAGAGGUGAAAUUCGUAGAUAUUCGCAAGAACACCAGUGGCGAAGGCGACUGUCUGGCUCGAUUCUGACGCUGAGGCGCGAGAGCGUGGGGAGCAAAC
rnacentral:rRNA from 1 species